rnacentral:rRNA from 1 species
GUACGCACUGGCCCAACUGAUUGAUGGUGCUUGCACCUGAUUGACGUUGGAUCACCAGUGAGUGGCGGACGGGUGAGUAACACGUAGGUAACCUGCCCCGGAGCGGGGGAUAACAUUUGGAAACAGAUGCUAAUACCGCAUAACAACAAAAGCCACAUGGCUUUUGUUUGAAAGAUGGCUUUAGCUAUCACUCUGGGAUGGACCUGCGGUGCAUUAGCUAGUUGGUAAGGUAACGGCUUACCAAGGCGAUGAUGCAUAGCCGAGUUGAGAGACUGAUCGGCCACAAUGGAACUGAGACACGGUCCAUACUCCUACGGGAGGCAGCAGUAGGGAAUCUUCCACAAUGGGCGCAAGCCUGAUGGAGCAACACCGCGUGAGUGAAGAAGGGUUUCGGCUCGUAAAGCUCUGUUGUUGGAGAAGAACGUGCGUGAGAGUAACUGUUCACGCAGUGACGGUAUCCAACCAGAAAGUCACGGCUAACUACGUGCCAGCAGCCGCGGUAAUACGUAGGUGGCAAGCGUUAUCCGGAUUUAUUGGGCGUAAAGCGAGCGCAGGCGGUUGCUUAGGUCUGAUGUGAAAGCCUUCGGCUUAACCGAAGAAGUGCAUCGGAAACCGGGCAACUUGAGUGCAGAAGAGGACAGUGGAACUCCAUGUGUAGCGGUGGAAUGCGUAGAUAUAUGGAAGAACACCAGUGGCGAAGGCGGCUGUCUGGUCUGCAACUGACGCUGAGGCUCGAAAGCAUGGGUAGCGAACAGGAUUAGAUACCCUGGUAGUCCAUGCCGUAAACGAUGAGUGCUAGGUGUUGGAGGGUUUCCGCCCUUCAGUGCCGGAGCUAACGCAUUAAGCACUCCGCCUGGGGAGUACGACCGCAAGGUUGAAACUCAAAGGAAUUGACGGGGGCCCGCACAAGCGGUGGAGCAUGUGGUUUAAUUCGAAGCUACGCGAAGAACCUUACCAGGUCUUGACAUCUUGCGCUAACCUUAGAGAUAAGGCGUUCCCUUCGGGGACGCAAUGACAGGUGGUGCAUGGUCGUCGUCAGCUCGUGUCGUGAGAUGUUGGGUUAAGUCCCGCAACGAGCGCAACCCUUGUUACUAGUUGCCAGCAUUAAGUUGGGCACUCUAGUGAGACUGCCGGUGACAAACCGGAGGAAGGUGGGGACGACGUCAGAUCAUCAUGCCCCUUAUGACCUGGGCUACACACGUGCUACAAUGGACGGUACAACGAGUCGCAAGCUCGCGAGAGUAAGCUUAUCUCUUAAAGCCGUUCUCAGUUCGGACUGUAGGCUGCAACUCGCCUACACGAAGUCGGAAUCGCUAGUAAUCGCGGAUCAGCAU